CAUCAGCUGAUCAGUUUCGCGCCAUCUUCGAGAAAGUAAACAGGAAGCAGCCUCUCGCGCUCCUCGGGAUACUUAAUGAACAAGACCUCACUCUUUAAAGUUGGAAAUAAAAAAGGAACUAGAAAUAUCGACGAUGGACGCACAAAUGCUCAAGAAUCUUGCUCAUAAAUUAGGAUUAACGUCGCCAAAAGUUGUGAGGAAAGCAGAGGAACUGAUACGGCUCUUGCAGUGCAGGGAGGUACCGGCCUGGCACUUAGCAUGUCAGGGAAGGCGGUCAUUUGCCUGGAAAUUGCUGCAACUCUUGCUUCUUGCUCUUUUGAUAAGACCCUUGCUGUGCGACUCUCAGGACUGACAAGACCUCAGUAUGUAGCAUCUAGUCAGACAGUGUCCGCCUGUUGAAUGUCUCCUCAAGUGUGUGUGUGGCUGACCUCUGUGUCACCCACUCAGCGACUGCAGCAAGGGAUCUGGCAGCAAAAGUGCUCAAGCAGUAUGAAACAGAAAACAAGAUAAAGGGGCAGGUAGACAUAGCUUUACCAGUGUACCAGACAGCUGCUGUUAUUGCUGCAUGCAAAGUAAUGAAAAUUAAGGUGGACAAGAGGCGCAUGUUUGAAACAAGUCGUAGCAAGAGAGCAGUCUAUGACAAGUGGUUGAGGGCAUGACUAAAAUUGCUGAAUCUCUGCAUGCAGAAAAGGCAUCAAAGAGUGGUGGCACCAAGAGAGGCAAGACCUUAAUGGAUAUGGUAGAGGAAAACCUGCGGAAUGAAUCUCCCGAGAAAAAGUUGAAGGUGGAAGAAGAGGAAAAGGACGACAAUGCAAAUGACAAAGAAGCAGAUUUCGAGGAAUGGAAGAGAAAGAUCCUAGAAGCUGCAGCCGCAGCAGAAUAGCAAUAUAUAUGUAUACUUAUAUAUGUAUAUACAUUUUAAUGGUUUUAGCUAUAUACAUUUUUUAUAUGCUUGAUAGAUGUUCUAUCAUGGUGUCUGUGGUAUUGCUGCUUAUAUGAUGACAUUUUCUUUUGAUGGAUAAAACUAUUUUUCUCAUUGUCAUUAUUCAUUUUAUUGUAGCCAUCUUUUGGUUAGGUCUUUUUAUGAUGAUAAAUGCAUACUGUGCUGCAUUGUGAUUAGCUAAAUUUACCAUGAAAAAUGUCUGUAUUGCAUAGGAAUACAUGCUUUUAUGUUUUUGCAAAUAUGUCUUCUAAAUUGGGACCCAAAAGAAUUUUUCUUUCUGUCUUGUUUUAGUAUUUUUUGCAUUUUUAUAGAAUUUUAUGGCCUAUUUUCAUGUAUUGAUUUUGAACAGAUGGACAUAGCUUUUUAUUCAGUUCAGAUUAUGAUAUGAACAAUUGAAAUUUAGUUUGGAAUAUUUUUUUUCUAGCUUUAUCACGUCAUGAUUUCAUACAAAUUUUCUACAUGUUAGUUAACUGCAGACAGCAGUUAUAUAUAUAUUUUUUUCUUUUUUACCUUUGACUUUGUAUUGUCAUGCAAGUUAAAUACAUGAAAUUUUUA